UACAGUAAUCAGUUAUGAAUUUUAACUCAACUCAGAUACUGCGCGGUUUUUUCGUUUCGAAGCUUGAAGAAAAAAAUUUGUUAUCAAUAGUUUGGCUUGAAUAGACAAUAAAACGGGUCGAAUGUUUUCUUUACGGAUAAAAUUCAUAUUAAUCUUAACUAUUCUAUGCUUUGUCAUGACGAGAAGUUUGGUAGUACACUCGUUUCCCAAUCUCUGUGAGGAACAAGGUGACAUGUGCCAAAUAAAAUGUGAAAUUAUUGGUGGAAGAGGCGGUUUCUGUAACAAGGCC